ACUCCUACGGGAGGCAGCAGUGAGGAAUAUUGGUCAAUGGAGGCAACUCUGAACCAGCCAUGCCGCGUGCAGGAUGACUGCCCUAUGGGUUGUAAACUACUUUUAUACAGGAAGAAACGUACCCUCGUGAGGGUGCCUGACGGUACUGUAGGAAUAAGCACCGGCUAACUCCGUGCCAGCAGCCGCGGUAAUACGGAGGGUGCGAGCGUUAUCCGGAUUUAUUGGGUUUAAAGGGUCCGUAGGCGGAUUAAUAAGUCAGUGGUGAAAUCCCAUCGCUUAACGAUGGAACUGCCAUUGAUACUGUUAGUCUUGAAUGAGGUGCAGUGGUUGGAAUGUGUAGUGUAGCGGUGAAAUGCAUAGAUAUUACACAGAACACCGAUUGCGAAGGCAGAUCACUAACCCUAAAUUGACGCUGAGGCGAAAGCGUGGGAGCGAACAGGAUUAGAUACCCCUGGUAGCGACUGA
rnacentral:rRNA from 1 species